GGCAAAGUGGCCGAGUGGUUAAGGCGCUAGAUUUAGGAAAUCCUUUGAUUUUCUCUAGUGGGAAACCGCGCGAGUUCGAAUCUCGUCUUUGUCA